rnacentral:SRP_RNA from 2 species
GCCAGGCGUGGUGGCGCAUGCCUGUAAUCCCAGCUACUCAGGAGGCUGAGGCAUGAGAAUCACUUGAACCCAGGAGGUGGAGGUUGCAGUGAGCUGAGAUCGUGCCACUGCACUCCAGCCUGGGCAACAGAGUGAGACUCUGUCUUUA